rnacentral:lncRNA from 1 species
AGAUGUUUGGCUACAUUCGUGUUGCGGAGAUUAUUUGAACAAGUUUCUUCAUAACAUCUAUUAAAUCCCUUAUUAUUUACGAGAGUGUGAGAUUACGUUCUUUUCAGUGUGUAUUCAGAUGUGGGGAUGCAAAUAAGGUCAAUCAAGCUUCUUCUUCUUUCUUUUUUUUUUUUUUUUUUUUUUUCUCUAGCAACAAGUUUUCAAUCCUAGCUCUAAAACCUUCAAUUUUUGUGCAACUCUACCGAGCGAAAAGGUCAUUAAAAAAGUGUAUAGAAUUCCUUGAUAAAUUUAUUCUUGUAUCAAACAAUUCAUUGGCAAACACUUUUACCUUAUGACACUUAUUAGGGUGCGUUUACUUUGAUUGUAAAAUUUUCUUUGGAAAAUGAAGGAUAAAAAAAGAUGAGAAAAU